rnacentral:rRNA from 1 species
AGUGAACGCUGGCGGCAGGCCUAAUACAUGCAAGUCGAACGGCAGCACAGCAGAGCUUGCUCUGUGGGUGGCGAGUGGCGGACGGGUGAGGAAUACGUGGGAAUCUGCCCAGUCGUGGGGAUAACGUAGGGAAACUUACGCUAAUACCGCAUGCGCCCUUCGGGGAAAGCCGGGGACCUUCGGGCCUGGCGCGAUUGGAUGAGCCCAGUCGGAUUAGCUAGUUGGCGGGUAAAGCCCACCAAGGCGACGAUCCGUAGCUGGUCUGAGAGGAUGAUCAGCCACACUGGAACUGAGACACGGUCCAGACUCCUACGGGAGGCAGCAGUAGGGAAUAUUGGACAAUGGGCGCAAGCCUGAUCCAGCCAUGCCGCGUGAGUGAAGAAGGCCCUCGGGUUGUAAAGCUCUUUUGUCCGGAAAGAAAAGCGCCGGGUUAAUACCCUGGUGUCCUGACGGUACCGGAAGAAUAAGCAACCGGCUAAACUUCGUGCCAGCAGCCGCGGUAAU